AACACCCCCGCCUCCCGAGUACCCUACGUGACGCAAUGACGCAGGCAGGCGGGUGGGGCUUGCCGGUUGCGACAUUUCCGCUUCUCUUAGUGGUGGUGUGCUUCGGAGAAGAGAGCAGCACGAGAGUGAGCGGGACAAUGCCUAAAUCAAAGGAACUUGUGUCUUCAAGCUCAUCUGCCAGUGAUUCAGAUAGUGAAGUUGACAAAAAGGCAAAGAGGAAAAAGCAAGCAGCUCCAGAAAAGCCUGUAAAGAAACAAAAGACCGGUGAAAGUUCUAAAGGUGCAGCUUCCUCUAAACAAAGCAGCAACAGAGAUGAGAAUAUGUUCCAGAUUGGUAAAAUGAGGUAUGUCAGUGUUCGUGACUUUAAAGGGAAAGUCCUAAUUGAUAUUAGAGAAUACUGGAUGGAUCAAGAAGGUGAAAUGAAACCUGGCAGAAAAGUGUUAUACCAGUAAGUUAUAGUACUAAACAUUUUUUGGGGGAACCUACCGUGUCUCCAAGAUGCAAAAGUCCCAUAUGGGAAUAUUUUUGAAGAGAUUCCUGUAUCAUUUGGAAGUAUUAAGAAAGGAUCACAUGCUGUAUAAGCGUAACAAAGACAAUGCAGGGCUUGGUAGCAGGAAUGAAAGAACAUUUUGAAAAGUGUGCUACCCAUGCCAAGGAUGACAUUGAAGAUACUGUUUCUCUGUCAGUCUGAAUAUUCUGGAUCUUUUGGUAUUUCUUUAAAUCCAGAACAGUGGAGCCAGCUGAAGGAACAGAUUUCCGAUAUUGAUGAUGCAGUAAGAAAACUGUAAAGACAGCCAUACAGAAACUUACUGUUU